AUUGAACGCUGGCGGAAUGCUUUACACAUGCAAGUCGAACGGCAGCACGGGGCAACCUGGUGGCGAGUGGCGAACGGGUGAGUAAUACAUCGGAACGUGCCCAAUCGUGGGGGAUAACGUAGCGAAAGUUACGCUAAUACCGCAUACGAUCUACGGAUGAAAGCGGGGGAUCGCAAGACCUCGCGCGAAUGGAGCGGCCGAUGUCAGAUUAGGUAGUUGGUGGGGUAAAGGCUCACCAAGCCGACGAUCUGUAGCUGGUCUGAGAGGACGACCAGCCACACUGGGACUGAGACACGGCCCAGACUCCUACGGGAGGCAGCAGUGGGGAAUUUUGGACAAUGGGCGCAAGCCUGAUCCAGCAUUCCGCGUGCAGGGAUGAAAGGCCUUCGGGUUGGUUAAACUAGGCUUUUGUUACGGUAAC
rnacentral:rRNA from 1 species